CUGAUCUUUAAGCUUUCACCCUGAUGUCUGACUCUGGGUUUUUAUUAAUAAGAUCAAUUAGAAUUUGUCCUACACCUUUCAUUCUCUUUAGCCUUUCCUAAAAUCCCCUCUCAGGAGCAAUAAUCAAAGGAGAAAAGAAAAAUUAUGAAGUAUCCAUACUUUAAAUUUUGGCUAUAUGAUACUGGUAACUAAUAAUAACAUCAUCCUUAUCAAGGACCAUGGAAAUCCCAUCUAUAGGAGGGUGAUUAGUUUUGGGUAAACACAGAUUCAAGAACCUUCACCAUUUGUUCUGAGGUCUCAGAAUGGCUGCCAUGUUUAUAGGUUUAAGUCACAAUGGGCUUGGAAUUUACAGCUUUCUGUAUGCAGGUACUACAGCCAUUUCUCACAAAAGCCAAGCAUUCUUGUAAGACUGGUAUGUAUGCAGUCUCAGUCUCCGGAUAUUUCAAGGAAGAGGUCCAGGAUAUAGAACAUCAGACAAGGUUGGCAACAAUUUAGGCUGGAGAGUUGGCCCUGUCAGUAAAAUCCUUGUUAUACAGAGAUUCUGGGAUUGCCUUUAGUUGAGCCUAUGACAACUUCACACCCAUCACUGAAGUCUAAGAAAAACACAGGCUAGUUAACCGGCGAUGGCUUGUGCAUGGUUCCCUCAGUGAACACCAGAUGGCAGAACAGCCCCUGACAUGCAUGCUGUGAAGACUUUCUGGGAAACUCAAGACUCACAGCCUCACUGGGUUGUUAGAUCCAGUUGGUGAAGCCGGCCAAGGCCUUGAACGUCAACACUCUUCCUAGGUCGCUGCUUCGAGUCAAUCAUCAAUAGCAGAAGGCAGUGCCGGUUCCCUCAUUUACCGGAAGAGGUGCUGAAAAGAUUCCCCGGUCUUGCUCCAUGCAUCUUCCCUGUUAGCAUUUCUCCAACUGAGUGGAGAAUGUGUGAAGAGUGCAGAGAACACAAGUUAGCUGUGACAGCCCCGUGGAGUUGCUUCUAUGUGUGAAAGCAGCUUAUUUGGCUCAUGUUGCUGCAACAAGGAAAUGCAUGACCAUAUGCAUGUCACAUAAGAAUACUUCUUCAAGCAAAUAGAAAUGAAUAAUUAAAGUUGAUGUAUUUACUAUGGCAAGGCUUCAAUUUGGCAGAAAACCAGCAAACCAAUUUCACAGCAGAAAGAUGGUGAUUUUUUUUUCCCCCAAGAGAGUGUGCCACUUGAAGAGAAGAGAUACAAUUAGAGUUAUACCUGUCUUGCAACUUAUGAAUAGACUUUUACCCACAUCCUACCUAUCACUAAUGGAAAAUGGACCCAGGGACAUAUAAAUACUCACUUGUAAAGCCUGUGUCAGUUGGCAGUUGAGGGGGCAGUUUUUAAUCAAUGCACCAUUUUCUUAGAAGGUAUAUAGGAUCUCAGUCAAGCCUAGGCAGCCCUCAGACUCACAGAAACCCACCUGCUUCAUCAUUCUCAAUGCUGGGAUUAUAGGUGUGAGCUGCCACCCCCGAGUUGAAACUUUGUUAAAUAAAGCGCAGGGAUCGCUCUUCCUGCA